GAUGAAGAACGUAGCGAAAUGCGAUACUUGGUGUGAAUUGCAGAAUCCCGCGAACCAUCGAGUCUUUGAACGCAAGUUGCGCCCGAAGCCAUUAGGCCGAGGGCACGCCUGCCUGGGCGUCACACGUCGUUGCCCCCCCCAUCUACUCCUUCGGGAUUGCGGGGGGCGGAUGAUGGCCUCCCGUGCGCCUCGCCGCGCGGUUGGCAUAAAUGCCAAGUCCUCGGCGACGCACGCCACGACAAUCGGUGGUUGCGAAACCUCGGUUGCCCGUCGUGUGCGGUCGUCGCGCAUCGAGGGCUCGAAAAAAUUGCCGAGUUCCGGCUCGGCUUUCAACGCGACCCCAGGUCAGGCGGGGUUACCCGCUGAAUUUAAGCAUAUCAAUAAGCGGAGGA
rnacentral:misc_RNA from 1 species